UUGGACCUGAUAUACAGGUAAGAUUACGCGCUAACUAA
rnacentral:rRNA from 1 species